rnacentral:rRNA from 1 species
UACGGAAGGCAGCAGUGGGGAAUAUUGCACAAUGGGCGCAAGCCUGAUGCAGCCAUGCCGCGUGUAUGAAAAAGGCCUUCGGGUUGUAAAGUACUUUCAGUCGUGAGGAAGGUGUUAAGGUUAAUAACCUUAGCAAUUGACGUUAGCGACAGAAGAAGCACCGGCUAACUCCGUGCCAGCAGCCGCGGUAAUACGGAGGGUGCGAGCGUUAAUCGGAAUUACUGGGCGUAAAGGGCACGCAGGCGGUUAAUUAAGUUGGAUGUGAAAUCCCCGGGCUUAACCUGGGAAUGGCAUUCAAGACUGGUUAGCUAGAGUCUUGUAGAGGGGGUAGAAUUCCAUGUGUGGCGGUGAAAUGCGUAGAGAUGUGGAGGAAUACCGGUGGCGAAGGCGGCCCCUGGACAAGACUGACGCUCAUGUGCGAAAGCGUGGGGAGCGAAAC